AGGGUAGCUCCCUAUUCUUAGCUAAGGCAAACUAAGAGCACAUAUUGAUCGUGUGUAGCAAAUCCACAUAACAACUGUAUUGCGGCAGUCGGUAUGGAUGGGACAUAGGUAGUAUAAUCAAGUGCCUAUGCAAGUAUUACUAUUUUCCAGGACGGCACGCCCUCCUGCGAAAAGUAGAUAAUCAGAUUCAAAUACAAUGCCAAGAAAUUGUUUGAAUCCCUAUACAAUUGAAACCAGUCUUGGCUGGGAGUAGAAUCGCAAAUCUACUCUAAUUUACUAUGGGUUGAAAAUCCCUGGGCCC
ncrna:unclassified sequences RAGATH-15 RNA